UACGUAGGGGGCUAGCGUUGUCCGGAAUCACUGGGCGUAAAGCGCACGUAGGCGGAUUUGUCAGUCAGGGGUGAAAUCCCGGGGCUCAACCUCGGAACUGCCUUUGAUACAGCAAGUCUUGAGUUCGAGAGAGGUGGGUGGAAUUCCUAGUGUAGAGGUGAAAUUCGUAGAUAUUAGGAAGAACACCGGUGGCGAAGGCGGCCCACUGGCUCGAUACUGACGCUGAGGUGCGAAAGCGUGGGGAGCAAACAGG
rnacentral:rRNA from 1 species